rnacentral:rRNA from 1 species
AGAGUUUGAUCCUGGCUCAGGACGAACGCUGGCGGCGUGCCUAACACAUGCAAGUCGAGCGGAGAUACAUUGAAGAGCAAUCAGAUAUGUAUCUUAGCGGCGGACGGGUGAGUAACGCGUGGGCAACCUACCUCUAACUGGGGGAUAACACUGGGAAACUAGUGCUAAUACCGCAUAACAUAUUGAAAGGACAUCCUUUUAAUAUCAAAGGAGUAAUCCGGUGAGAGAUGGGCCCGCGUCCAAUUAGCUAGUUGGUGAGGUAAUGGCCCACCAAGGCGACGAUUGGUAGCCGAACUGAGAGGUUGAUCGGCCACAUUGGGACUGAGAAACGGCCCAGACUCCUACGGGAGGCAGCAGUUGAGAAUCUUGCACAAUGGGGGGAACCCUGAUGCAGCGACGCCGCGUGGAUGAUGAAGGCCUUCGGGUUGUAAAGUCCGAUAAGCAGGGAAGAAUAAGUGAGGGGUAAUAUUCCUCAUGAUGACGGUACCUGCCUAAAGCCCCGGCUAACUACGUGCCAGCAGCCGCGGUAAUACGUAUGGGGCGAGCGUUGUUCGGAAUUAUUGGGUGUAAAGGGCGUCUAGGCGGGAGAUUAAGUUAGAUGUGAAAGGCGUGGGCUUAACCCGCGAAUUGCAUCUAAAACUGGUUUUCUUGAGUUCGGGAGAGGAGAGCGGAAUUCUUGGUGUAGCGGUGAAAUGCGUAGAUAUCAAGAAGAACACCAGUGGCGAAGGCGGCUCUCUGGCCUAGAACUGACGCUGAAGCGCGAAAGCGUGGGUAGCGAACGGGAUUAGAUACCCCGGUAGUCCACGCCGUAAACGUUGUAUACUAGGUGUUAGUGGCUUGACUACUAGUGCCGCAGCAAACGCAUUAAGUAUACCACCUGGGGAGUACGCCCGCAAGGGUGAAACUCAAAGAAAUUGACGGGGGCCCGCACAAGCGGUGGAGCAUGUGGUUUAAUUCGAUGAUACGCGAAGAACCUUACCUGGGCUUGAGCUGUGCUUGACAGGUGUAGAGAUACGCUCUCCCUUCGGGGCAAGUACAGAGGUGCUGCAUGGUUGUCGUCAGCUCGUGUCGUGAGAUGUUGGGUUAAGUCCCGCAACGAGCGCAACCCCUACUCUCUGUUGCUAUCAGGUAAAGCUGGGCACUCUGAGGGAACUGCCGGUGACAAACCGGAGGAAGGUGGGGACGACGUCAAAUCAUCACGGCCCUUAUGUCCAGGGCUACACACGUGCUACAAUGGCCGGUACAAAGAGUUGCUAAACCGCGAGGUCAAGCUAAUCUCAAAAAACCGGUCUCAGUUCGGAUUGGAGUCUGCAACUCGACUCCAUGAAGUUGGAAUCGCUAGUAAUCGUGGAUCAGAACGCUACGGUGAAUACGUUCCCGGGCCUUGUACUCACCGCCCGUCA